AGGGGGGACCCGGACGUGGCACCGUCCCCCUCUCUCUCCGCCUGACCCUGCGGGGCGACAAAGAGUCCCCGCCUGCGGGAGGGGUGGCUGCCCAGGCUGGAGCGAGAAGUGGGUUCCGGAAUCACUCCCCACCCCCCAGCAGCCUCCGUGCCACAGACAGCUGCCCGCCAGGCCGCCCCGCGAAGCUCCAGCCGCACCAGGAAGCCACUCGGCUGGGAGCCCAGGAAGGAGGACGGCGGCAUCGCGGGACCGUCUCUUGGGGAGCGGCCUUUCAUUCACAAGCAUUCUGUGCUGCUUGGAGACCACACCUGCCGCUGCCCUGGCCCAGCUCGUGCUCGAGAAGAAGUGAAGCCACUCUCACGGAGCUGCGACACCGACACGGCCCCGAAACAGCGCGGCUUCCCGGCGCCCUUCUCCGCGCCCAUCCUGUCCGUGGCCCUCGCCUCGACGGCCAGCGCCCGCUCCCCUGACGCACGGCGCACCUGCCCGGCCUUCCGCUAAGUAUUUUUAUAGGGGAGGGUGCUGCAAUUUGACCUGGACUGAUUUCUCCCUGGAUGGAACCGAGACCAGCACGGCAGGGACCCCGAGCAACUGCGUGAGUGCAGAGCGGAUCUGCUUCCACGCUUCUUCAAGACGAUUCCACGUCACAUUUCACCUGUUCCUGCAGGAGCGCGUCUUACCGACACCCAAAAAAGAUGCCGAUUUACAACGAGGCAGGAAAGAAGCUCUCCCUGGUUCUGUACAGAAGCAGGAAUCCGGCGAACGUCUGAGAUGUGGGCCAUGUAAGCACACAGGAGGACCCCCAAGCAAAGUGUGAAAACACACACAGACCCACAAGGCCUUGGGCACGUUUCCUACGAGACCAAGUUCAGGGGAAUCUUGACGGGACCCUCGGAACUGCCCCUCGGAAGCCAAGCCCCACAGUGACAUUCAAGGGGUCCGGGCUCCUUCCCUAAACUGAACCCCGCUUCUCUCCCCCUGCCCGCCCACCCGCCUCCCAGUCAUCAGGCCCCGCGCCCACAUCAGACUUGGAGGCGCGUUCCCGCGAGGGCCACUAGGGGGCGCCCGCGCCGCGCGGCUCUGGCCGCCUGGCACGAUGAAAACAUUAAUUUGCGAUGAGAUAAUUUUUGACGUAAAUGUAAAAUGGUGCCCAUUCGAACUCAGUAAUGAAGCAUGGUGCAUUUCUGCAGCUCCUAAUUUGACUAGUUAAAUGACUCCAUUACGUGUCUAACAGACAGAAGCAAAUAAUUUCUGGUCAGUUGAUGUUCACUUACCCGUAUCAUUUUUGCCCUGAAAAAUAAA